rnacentral:rRNA from 1 species
UGGGAAUCUUCCGCAAUGGGCGAAAGCCUGACGGAGCAACGCCGCGUGAGUGAUGAAGGUCUUCGGAUCGUAAAACUCUGUUAUUAGGGAAGAACAUAUGUGUAAGUAACUGUGCACAUCUUGACGGUACCUAAUCAGAAAGCCACGGCUAACUACGUGCCAGCAGCCGCGGUAAUACGUAGGUGGCAAGCGUUAUCCGGAAUUAUUGGGCGUAAAGCGCGCGUAGGCGGUUUUUUAAGUCUGAUGUGAAAGCCCACGGCUCAACCGUGGAGGGUCAUUGGAAACUGGAAAACUUGAGUGCAGAAGAGGAAAGUGGAAUUCCAUGUGUAGCGGUGAAAUGCGCAGAGAUAUGGAGGAACACCAGUGGCGAAGGCGACUUUCUGGUCUGUAACUGACGCUGAUGUGCGAAAGCGUGGGGAUCAAACAGGAUUAGAUACCCUGGUAGUCCACGCCGUAAACGAUGAGUGCUAAGUGUUAGGGGGUUUCCGCCCCUUAGUGCUGCAGCUAACGCAUUAAGCACUCCGCCUGGGGAGUACGACCGCAAGGUUG